AUUGAACGCUGGCGGCAUGCUUUACACAUGCAAGUCGAACGGCAGCGGGGAGGAGCUUGCUUCUCUGCCGGCGAGUGGCGAACGGGUGAGUAAUACAUCGGAACGUGUCGAGAAGAGGGGGAUAACCACCCGAAAGGGUGGCUAAUACCGCAUAAAUUCUGAGGAAGAAAGCUGGGGACCUGGGAAUAGGCCUAGCGCUUUUUGGUCGGCCGAUGUCGGAUUAGCUAGUUGGUGAGGUAAAGGCUCACCAAGGCGAAGAUCUGUAGCGGGUCUGAGAGGAUGAUCCGCCACACUGGGACUGAGACACGGCCCAGACUCCUACGGGAGGCAGCAGUGGGGAAUUUUGGACAAAGGGGGCAACCCUGAUCCAGCCAUGCCGCGUGUAUGAAGAAGGCCUUAGGGUUGUAAAGUACUUUUGUUAGGGAAGAAAAGUCAGCUGUGAAUAAUGGCUGAUACUGACGGUACCUAAAGAAUAAGCACCGGCUAACUACGUG
rnacentral:rRNA from 1 species